GAAGACAAUUCCUGACCUUGGGAAAGGUGGAUCUUUUGUUGAGAUCCAUACGUUUUGUGUGAUCUGACUACUCCAUAAUAGUUAUUUGGGGUCGUUUUUGAGAUUUCUGAAUCAUAGCCAGCUGUGGUCUGCACUGGGGCAGCCAGUGUUGGCACUGAUAAUUUCUGAUGCAAUUGCUUCUACUAGCAAGUCAAUGAGAGCUCUGCUGUCCACCUCCUGCCAGCAAGCAUGACCACACUCCUGCCCCAGCCCCGGAUAUUAUGCUGUGGCACCUGGACCCUUGAGCUUUUGAUGCAAAGCAGACUAAUUAUCACUCUGACAGACAACAACAAUUAAAAGAAAAUAACCUCACAAAAUAUCAGCAGGAUGAAGCUUUGUGUUCGUGGGUUUUACAAGGAAAUCUCCCAGCCCUCCAAUGAAAAUUUGCAUUAAUAUAUGCUGCAAGAAUAAACUGUGCGUGGAAGGCAAAACAGAAAAUCCUAUUUUCUUCAAUCAUUUUGUCCCACUGCACUGCUCAAUACAAGACUGCAUGACAAGGAAAUGUAUCAUAAUAUCUACUAUUAACAUAAUGCAUAUUGAAACACCAAAAUGAAGAUGAAUAGCAACUAAGGCAACUUAAAUUCUAGUUCAGCACACAAAAUAGAUAGAAGCGUGCUGUACUCUUAUUUUAAGCAGCUGGAGGUUUGUACCUGUGCAUGCACCUUUGCUUUCCUGAAGCAAUCCAUGUCAUGUGAGGUUGACCUUGGAAUGCCAGUAGGUAUGCUGAAGUCCUUUUUUAUCUGGUGUUUGCUACAGUUUUUACUGGCUGAUAUUUUUUAUUCUUCUCCACUAUCUGGAAAAAGACAUAAAGCAGAAGUAUAAGGUGAUCAGUGUAGUGCACAGCAAUAUAUAUUUUUUCUUAAUAACUUCAUAUAUAUAUUGUGCAUCAGUGGGAAUAGAGUGACAUCACACAUUUGUCUGUGUGCCUUAUUCUAUAGCAAAUUACCAUCAUUGUAAUGAUCUGUUCUCAAGGCUGAGAUGUAGAAUUCAGCCAUGAAAAGGCUACUAAUCACAGUUUUCCAAGUUGCUAACUGUACUGAGAUUUUGCAAAUGAUUCAAGAUCUAAUACGUUGCCACCCCUGUUCUGAGACUGCAAUCUAAAUUCAAUACUUUAUUUCAUUUGAUCAGCUGGAGGAAUUCUGAUUUAUUCCACAUAUCAAUAUAUGUUUUCCAAUAGAAAAUGUGAUGUUUUCACUGAUAAAGUAGGCCUUUUCUUUAUUCUUCUUCCAUGGCUUUUUUAGUUGUAUUUGUAGGCACUUGAAAACUUGUUUCUCUUCCCCUUUUUUAGCAGGUUAUUUGUAUCUGAACUUAUUGCAACAGAGAAAACAAGACAAACAAUAGCCCUAAAAGAUGGAAGUUGUAUGCUUGUUCUAUGUCAUAUACAAUCUUAUUACAACAUAAGAAGAACAAGUAAACUAGUUUUACAUAAACCCAGUGGGUUCUCUAGGCAAAGAAGAGAUUUCUUUUAUGUCUCUAAUGGGGAAAGAUUGAAGUGAACAUUUGCUAUCCAACAAUUUCACGUUGGAAGGUGAUUGUUGUUAUAAUGCAAUGAUAAAAACAAGAAAACAUAUUUGUAAAGCUGUUCCAUUCUCACUGCACUAAACUGAAAACAAUACCACUUUCAAAAUGUUUUCAAAAUGACUUAAUGCUACGCUAAAGUUAGAUCAUAAAUCAAUUGUUGAAUUAAUCUUAGUAUCCCUGAAUGCUGAACUGGUUAACUGAGUACAAAUUCUUACUUAAAAAUAAAUAAAUAACUAAAUUAAAAAAUAAUAAUAAAAAAAAAUUAAAAAUUU
ensembl:lncRNA